rnacentral:snRNA from 1 species
UCUCUUGUGCUCGGGCAUGUACUGUCGCCAGUGAGGUUUCUACCGAGGCACAGUUUUUUUGCUGAUUGCAAAUUAUACAUCCGAACCCGUCUGUUAGCUUCGGCUUCCAGCAAUUUUUGGAAACCCCCUUCCG